GGGGUCCGAAUUAUAUUUGCGUAGCAUGGAUACAUGAAACACAUUUUUAAUCCUGGAUAACUCUGGAGAUAGUACCAGUCUAUAAGUAGUCGUAUCAAUCCUGUUUAAGAUCUCAAAUGGCCCAAUGAACCAGAGAUUUAAUUUUCCCAUCUUGCGAAACCUAGUGAUUCUUCUGAAAGUAGUGACCUUGAGAAACACUCGAUCACCUUUCUCAAAUUCUAAAUCCUCAUCUAGGUGUCCGCAUAACUCUUCUACAUGCUCUGAGCUAUUUGGAUGUUCUUCCUGAUCUUAACUAUCU
rnacentral:lncRNA from 1 species